rnacentral:rRNA from 1 species
GCAUAACGCGAAGAACCUUACCUGGGUUUGACAUGUACCUGCACGUCCCGUGAAAACGGGAUUCCUUCGAGGGUGGUACACAGGUGCUGCAUGGCUGUCGUCAGUUCGUGCCGUGAGGUGUUUGGUUAAGUCCAGCAACGAACGCAACCCCUGUGCCCAAUUGCCAGCGCGUAAUGGCGGGAACUAUGGGCAGACUGCCUGUUUACACAGGAGGAAGGUGGGGACGACGUCAAGUCAGUAUGGCCCUUACAUCCAGGGCUGCACACGUGCUACAAUGGCCGGUACAAAGGGACGCAAGACCGCGAGGUGGAGCAAACCCCCCAGAGCCGGCCCCAGUUCAGAUUGCAGUCUGCAACCCGACUGCAUGAAGUUGGAUUCGCUAGUAACGGCGUAUCAGCUACGGCGCCGUGAAUACGUUCCCGGG